rnacentral:rRNA from 1 species
GAUGAACGCUGGCGGCGUGCCUAAUACAUGCAAGUCGAGCGAACAGAUGAGGAGCUUGCUCCUCUGACGUUAGCGGCGGACGGGUGAGUAACACGUGGAUAACCUACCUAUAAGACUGGGAUAACUUCGGGAAACCGGAGCUAAUACCGGAUAAUAUAUUGAACCGCAUGGUUCAAUAGUGAAAGACGGUUUUGCUGUCACUUAUAGAUGGAUCCGCGCCGCAUUAGCUAGUUGGUAAGGUAACGGCUUACCAAGGCAACGAUGCGUAGCCGACCUGAGAGGGUGAUCGGCCACACUGGAACUGAGACACGGUCCAGACUCCUACGGGAGGCGGCAGUAGGGAAUCUUCCGCAAUGGGCGAAAGCCUGACGGAGCAACGCCGCGUGAGUGAUGAAGGUCUUCGGAUCGUAAAACUCUGUUAUUAGGGAAGAACAAAUGUGUAAGUAACUAUGCACGUCUUGACGGUACCUAAUCAGAAAGCCACGGCUAACUACGUGCCAGCAGCCGCGGUAAUACGUAGGGCGCGAGCGUUGUCCGGAAUUAUUGGGCGUAAAGGGCUUGUAGGCGGUUGGUCGCGUCUGCCGUGAAAUCCUCUGGCUUAACUGGGGGCGUGCGGUGGGUACGGGCUGACUUGAGUGCGGUAGGGGAGACUGGAACUCCUGGUGUAGCGGUGGAAUGCGCAGAUAUCAGGAAGAACACCGGUGGCGAAGGCGGGUCUCUGGGCCGUUACUGACGCUGAGGAGCGAAAGCGUGGGGAGCGAACAGGAUUAGAUACCCUGGUAGUCCACGCUGUAAACGUUGGGCACUAGGUGUGGGGGCCACCCGUGGUUUCUGCGCCGUAGCUAACGCUUUAAGUGCCCCGCCUGGGGAGUACGGCCGCAAGGCUAAAACUCAAAGGAAUUGACGGGGGCCCGCACAAGCGGCGGAGCAUGCGGAUUAAUUCGAUGCAACGCGAAGAACCUUACCAAGGCUUGACAUGCACGGCGGCACUGCAGAGAUGUGGUGGCAUUUAGUUGGUCGUGUGCAGGUGGUGCAUGGUUGUCGUCAGCUCGUGUCGUGAGAUGUUGGGUUAAGUCCCGCAACGAGCGCAACCCUUGCCCUAUGUUGCCAGCACGUGAUGGUGGGGACUCGUGGGGGACUGCCGGGGUUAACUCGGAGGAAGGUGGGGAUGACGUCAAAUCAUCAUGCCCCUUAUGUCUUGGGCUUCACGCAUGCUACAAUGGCUGGUACAGAGGGUUGCGAUACUGUGAGGUGGAGCGAAUCCCUUAAAGCCAGUCUCAGUUCGGAUUGGGGUCUGCAACUCGACCCCAUGAAGGUGGAGUCGCUAGUAAUCGCAGAUCAGCAACGCUGCGGUGAAUACGUUCUCGGGCCU